UAAAGGUUAAAACUGCUGAGUGCUGGGUUGUGAAACACUUCCCUUGAGAACUGAUAAAAAGCAUGCACUUCUGCACAACCUCUUCCUACACAUGUGGCCUAGAGUGAAAAAAUACAUCCAAGACAGCUCAACUGAGAUGGAAUUAAAAUAAUGAUUUAAAAAAAAAAAAAAAAAGAUCCAUCCAAAGGAGGUGAAAAUGAGGAAUGUUAGUUUAUACAAGCAAUAUUUUAAAUUUGCAUGCUGGUUAUAAACAUGAGUAAUUCGAUGCAACGGCUUGUUUUGAUGUCAACAAGGCCGAUCGGAUAAAAAGUGACCCGCUGAGAUGUCUGAUUAAUGGUGGUAGGGUCGCAGAGCAGACGCCAAUAUGCAAUGCCAUAUGGAUGAGAUCACAUGGUCAGGUGUCUUAAACUAUGGCUAGCAAUUAUCAGUGUCAGCAGGGUCUCUGCUGGCUCGAGUGGAUGCCACACUGACUCAUAAACACAUGUGCAGGCGGUUUGGCGCUAAUAGUGUAUGGUGUGUUCACUCAUCUGUGUAAGAGGCCCUUUAGCACAGCUUGUCUCGUUCUAAUUCAAGAGCUUAAGCUCGCUUUUUAUGCCAGAAGCCAUGACUGUACACUGUUACACUUUACACAGACUGAAGAACAUAUCACAUCUUGCUCCAUUUGCUCUAACACUCACUGAGUUUGUUCAGCAGCCUAUAAAUGUUAAAUAAAAGGCCACUAUUUGAAUAGCGUGUGAUGUCAUGUUCAGUAUUGCAUAUUGCAUUCCACACUUUUCACAUCUGAUUUGCCCGAUCUGAGAGUGUGAUCUGAGUCACGAAGCAUUAAGCGAGCUGACAUACUUGUAUUAUUCAUUAGUGUGGCACACAUAACUGGCGUUGUCAUUGACAACCGCUUGACAACAGAGUUUGUACACAGCGGUACAUUAAGCAACGAGGCCAAAUGCACUGAGGCAAGAAUGUUUCCUGAUCACAAGCUCAUUGGUGCAUGAAACACUUUCUGUUUCUCUUAAAUGCAUGUUUUUGGAAGAAAUAAGGAAUUUGGUUUGUGAGCCUAGACGGCUGAAUAGACCUGCUGUACAAAUUUGGGACUUUCCAGAAAACAAUGAGGAUCACAUGAACAUGUUGAGGAGCACAUUAUGAAAAGUUACAGGAUCAUGCUGCAGGCAGGUUGUGAAUGUUAUUUCAUCUUCACUCUGAAGAACACUUCUGGUGUUUCCUCGAAAACCUGCACGAGUAUACCACAAACAUCAAUCUGUAUGCAGGACUUAUGCAGAAAGCAUCACCACCUGACACUUACCCAAGCCUGGAAAACCAAUUAAAAGUAAAAGAAAACACCAAAAAACAGCUACCAAUAGCACGUUUACAGCCGAUUGGAGAAACAGCAGUGAUGGAAGGCUUCUUUUUUUUAUUGCCCAGACAAGUGUCUAGACCUUCCCUUACAUUCUGAACAUUAAAAUAAAUAAAUAAAUAAAUAAAUAAAAGAUUUGUCCCUUUUUUCUACAUUUGCAGCUUGAUUUACUACAUGCCUGGCAAUCAAGAGAGCAACUGAGCUCUGGAGAAUGCUUUUUGAAGUGUAAGGAAAUUCAUUGCAGGUCGAAGGGCCAGUUCUGUACAGCAAGCCUCAUUUGAAUUAUUUCCACACACCUGAACAGCACUACAGGAAGCUAAUAUUACAAAAUCACCCAGUGGGAAUGACAGCUGAAAACUGGUUCAGUCUGGCAUAAACAAGGACAUGUCAAUGACACAAAGACGACUGUCAAUUAAACAUAAUCACAGAGUAUAAAGUCUGCAUUAAACCAGAUUACAUCUUGAUACCAUCUAGUGUUGCUUGCUAUCAAGACUGUCUGAAGGCCUGAACAGCAUGUAAGACAUGUAAAGCCAAGGGGAUUUUCCAACCAAGUAGUGAAAGUGAAAGCACACAGUUACUUUUAUUGUAAGCUGUUUUACAGUUUCAUUUAAACUCUUCCCUGAAGUUUCACAAGGUGACAAGCUGUUUUUCAAAAUAAUUAUUUUUCAUAUAUUUGUCUGCUGGUUGUCCAGCGGCGGGAUCCCGAGCUCUCCCUGACGUGGCCCCGGUUUGCUUCCCGGGCAGGGAGCUAACCCAGCCACUGAAGAAUUAACUCUCAGUUAUGGUCCCAAGCCCGGAUUAAAUGGGAGAGUUGCGUCAGAAGGGCAUCCGGCGUAAAACCUGUGCCAAAUCGAAACUUGCUGACCAAAUGAUCUGCUGUGGCAACCCCAAACAGGGAGCAGCUGAAAGAACAACAACAUUUAUCAUAUCUUCACCUUCCUUAUAAGGUAGCAAGCUAAUCCCUUCUGAGCACAUGUCAAAUUAAUAUAAAAAACCUUGCUUUGUGUCACACAAUUCAGGUUUUUAUACCAUGCAACUUCAUUUAACAUCUAGAUUUCUCAUUCUUGAGUCUGAUGAUAGCAUACAGAAAUGUUGCAUCAUAUUUGUUACUUGACUACCAUCAUAUCAUCUUCCUCCAAUAGGUGUGUUAUACAGGUUAAAUUUAUUUUGUAGGCGAAGUCCAUCUACUGUAUACAAAGCAAUGACUAAGACAUCCUUUCUAUCCAACCCACUUUGAGUAGGUGGUACAUUCAGUGACUGUAUAAAGUGUGUAUAACCUGUAGGAGGACAUAUUCUAUAAACAGUAGCAUGCUAUGAGAAGCACAUGCCGUCACCCGUGACAUGAUUGUGUAGUGGAUAAACUUGGGUCUUUCAUCAGAGCUUCCUCACAUCCUCCACCAAACACUCCUAACAAGUGUUCAGUGGAUCCACAUAAUGAGGACAUCAGUAACUUCAUCUCCAUCUGCUAACAACCAUCCUGAGGAAAUACUCAGCACAUCCAAUUAAUCUACUAACAUCCAUCCUGAGUGGCUAUCCAUGCUUCCAUACCCUGGAGAUCAGGGCUUUCAAACAGGCUCCUACAAGCCGUACAGAUGAGAUCAUCAUUGCUUUCACUCAGUCCCUUUCACACCCAUCCUGAUGUGGUUGUUUCGGUGGAAAUUUAGGGUGUGGGGAGAGCCUUGCAAUCUUACAAGAUCUAGAGUUUAGCUGAACAGUAUAACAGUAUACUCUGGGGAAAAACCCAGUAUAGAUGAAUAGUGUACUUCGGAGAAAAAUAUCCAUUCUAAAUGAACAGCGUACUUUCAGAAAAGACCUACAGUCUAGAUGAAGAGUGUACUUCAAAUAAAUAUCUUCAUUCUAGAUGAACAAAGAUCUCCAUUCUAGGUGACCAGUGUAUGUUGAAGAAAGUUCUCCACUAAGUUGUAAAAAUAUCUUCAGUCUAGAUUAAUAGUGCACUUUGGGGAAAGACCUACAUUCCGGAUGAACAGUGUACAUUGGGAAAUGAUUUAUAGUGUAGUUAAACAGUGUACUUUAGGAAAAACUCUACAGUCUAGUUGAACAGUAUUCAAUGGGGAAACCCUUGAGUCAUAGCAGGAAAGAAAGCCAACCAUGAUGACCAACCUCCUAAACUUAGUAGUAGCAACUACUGCUGAGUAUAAGUUGAGGUUAAACAGCAACAUCUCCAUGGUUACUGAUGCCUACCAUUUUAUCAAUGGUUCCUGAUGUGAGACUCCCAGGAGUCUUUGAUAUGCACAUAUGAAGUCUGUUACAGGAGACUUAAGGCACAAGAAGGUGGACAGGGUGUAUUAUUAUACAAUACAAGAAACUGUGUUUCAUUUGGGAAGCUCAUUAACUUGAAAAGAAACAUAAAUAAUGUCAAAUUAAAAUAAGUAAGCAAUAACCAAAACAACACAAAUAAAAUCUAACUGCAAUUGCAAGUCAAAGACUGCAAAAAUUUUAAUAUCCUCCACUUUGUCUAUGUAAAUUCUUGAAUGUGGCUGCGCAUUGAUUCUCUUGAGAGACUUUCCGCUGUUCUUUAAAACAAAGGGCUUGCUUGAGGUCAAUAUCAGCGCCGCUAUACGUAAUGACUGUCUAUCAGAUUGUGUCUGUUGGUGUGGUCAUAUCAAAACACCGUUCUUUCUUUGUUGGCUAGGACACUGUUCCCAUGGUGACAGGCUGUAGCUAUAAACAGAGAGAGGAGGAAGUGGAGGAGGAAGUGGCUCAGCACAGAUGACGCAAGCAGCCCGAGCUCUUAUGUAGACCCACACGUAAUCGGUCUACAUGUGUUUUCCAGGUGUUGCAGAGUUUAAAUUUUUAGAAUGGAUGGCUGACUACAUUCAUGCAUAGAAGAAUCUUGUGUAUAGAUGCAUUUGGAAAAGGUUGCAAGAACCGAAUUGCUUACAGUCGAUUCAUUUGAACUCACUUUACAGUUGAUUCGUUUAAAGUGUUUUGUUUGCCGUGCCCUGGAUUUUGCUCCUAGAGAGCCACAAGUUUCCAAAAUGAUCCAGACGUGCAUGGAAAUUAUCCAUAGCAAACACACACUCCUCAGUGUGUUAAACGGUCUCCCUCCUCCCUAAGCCCAGCUUCCUGUGUCAAAACGACCACAUCACACCCAAAUGCUGCGAGGAACAUUUACUAAAGCCUACUCUCAUGCAACCACUGGUUAGUUUAGGUAGAGAAGUCAUGAGUUCGAGAAGCUGAUUGGCUUCUUAGAAUGUCAUACCAUUGCUACCCACACCCAUUUUUGGAGUCAGACCCACACAUAAGAGGAUUAUGUCAUGCUUCUUUGUUAUUUUGGGUAGGGUGAUGGAGCUCACAGUGAAAUCAUUCAUAUUCACACCUACUUUCAAUGGCUUAUUUCAUAUGUUCUCUGAACAGGGCUGUAAUAGUUAGGCUGAAAAAAACAACAACUAAGGUUAUAGUUCAGCUAAACUUGGACACUGUUUAAACCAAGUUUGCAUUUUUCAACCAUGAAUCACUUGCCAGUGAAACCCACCCAAAUAAUGGUGGAAAAAUAAAGCCUGGUGUAAA